ACUAAAUAUAUGUCACAGAAGUAUAUGAAGUAUUAAAAAUGUCUUUUAAACUUUCUUUUCAUUACUUAAAAAAAGGAGCAUACUCUGAAUAUGUUAGGUAUAUUUGCAGAUGUAUUAAAUAGCCAUUGCUUGUUUUUAUAUAAAGGUAUUCAUUUAUUCAACAGCAUUUAUUGUCAAGCACUUUCCCUGUGCUAGAGAGUUGGAAUACUAGAAUCAUAAGACCAAAUCUCUGUCAUCAAGUCUACUUAAGAAGGUAAGUGUAAAAUAAAAUACAGUGUAAUAUGGUAGAUGUUAGCCCAAGCAGUAUACACAGAAAUGAAAGAACUUCUAGAGGAAAGAAGUAUUUAUGAAUGACUUUCCAGACAAGGUGACUUCUGAGCUAGGUUUGAAAGUAUAUAUGGGAGUCUGACAGAUUUGGGGUGGGGGGGGAAGUUGGAGAGAGACAAACAUUUCAGAAUGAGAUGUAGUAGAAUUUAAGAUAUCAUGAUCAGGAUCAUGGUGGACAGGAGGCUGGACUAGAUUGCAUCUCCGGAUAGAGCAGUGGCCAGUGGCUUACAUUGUGAAUUUUACCUCCAGAUUACCGCAAAGAAAAACCAGCAAUCCCGAGAGGACCCACAGACCCUCUGAAGGAAGCUUAUUGCUCCUGCAGGAUCUAGGAGACCCCCCAAAACUAAAUAAAAGAGGAAAGAAGAUUUCUCAUCUCAUUUUAUCAAGAUAAUACUACCCUGAGACCAAAAUCAGACAAAGACAAAACAGAGAAAGAAAACUACAGGUCAGUAUCUCUCAGGAACUUGGAUGCAAAACUCCUCAACAAAACAUUAGCAAUUGAAUCCAGCAAUGUUCAAAAUUAUUACAAGCAUGUCCAAGUGGUAUUUAUUCUAGGUAUGUAAGCCUGGUUCAACAUUUGAAAAAUCAAUGUAAUCUACCAUAUACCCAGGCUAAGGAAGAAAACUCAUAUGAGCAUAUCGAUUAAUGCAGAAAAAACAUGUCAUGACAUCAAUCGAUCAUAAUAAAAAUCCUCACCAAGCUAGGAAUAGAAGAGAA
rnacentral:lncRNA from 13 species